CUCUUUCUCUUCCGCCCCCUGCGUCUUCCUCCGCCCGCCCGCGUCUCACGUCAUCCGCUCCCAGUGAGAAACACCCCUCCAUUCCACUCGCUCGCUCGCGUCGCCUCCUCCGCAUCCGGUCGCCCCUCGCCUCCGCGCCCCCUCGGCGCCCUGGUCGCCGCCAGAGCAUCGCCUAGCCGCUCCGAUCCCAGUGUUCGACACGAUGCAGCCGCCGAUGGAGAACGAGAGGCCAACAGCCCCCGGCCGGCCCAUCACCCCCUUCGUGCCCGGCGCCGCCGUCCCACGGCCUCUGGGGGCGUCCUUGCCGUUCGCCGCCGGUGGCCCGUUCUUGCAACCCGGCCUUCGCUGAUGAUCGCUGUCGCUGAAAAUAAGUGGCGGAUUGGGUACCAGACGUAGCAGCAAUGGAUCGCUUGAGCAUGUGAAUCGGCUGGGAUGGGAUGCCAAGGUCUUUGCGCCGCCGGCGCAGGUGGGUGGCGGGGCGGGGUUGCCCUUCCCAUUUGAGUCCGUUGGGCACCACAACCGCCUUGGUCUCUUCCUCUUCACGCUCACCCGGUCAUGCGAGGAUUUUUUGGAGCCUCCACUGGAAGAACUUUUAAGGCAGCUGAAGGCGCAAGGUGGUAGACGAUUUAGCUAAUGGUUGGCUCUGUGAGCAGCUGACAAGUACCCUGUCAGCGCUGAACUCACCUGAUGAUUUGUUCAACUUUUUCGAUAAGCUACGAGGUGUGCUCACUGCACCAGAAGGUGCAAGUGUGGAGGACGUAUUUCUGGAUCCAAAUAGUCAACUUGGAAUUUUUCUUCGCUGCUGCAUACUUGCCUUCAAUUCAAUGACCUUUGAGGGCGUGUGCCAUCUUUUGGCAGAUCUUGUGGUGUACUGUAACUCUGCUGAUGCUUCAUAUGACUUGGCAGAAGAUGAGGACUUCAACAGCGAAAUGAGCAACUUGAUGGAUGCAGAUAUAGGUGUAUAUUUGACAAAUACAAUCAAGGCUAUGCUGCUGGGAGCUCUAUCGGGGAGAGCUCUUCAGCUCUGACUCAUGCACCAAUGAAGACGUCCAAAUGAGCCGUGUCUAUUGGGCCGGCCCGAGGCAGGCACUGUAGGCACGACCCAAGCACGGCACGGCCCGAUCACCGACGGGUCGGCACGGCACGAGGUCACGGGCCGUGCCUGGGCCGAGCGUGCGGCAUGACGGGCCGGCAAGGUCCGGCCCGGCACGUAUUUUCUAUUUUUUAUAUAUAUUUUUAAUUUUUAGCUAUUUUUAA